rnacentral:rRNA from 1 species
GACGAACGCUGGCGGCGUGCCUAAUACAUGCAAGUCGAGCGAAUCUGAGGGAGCUUGCUCCCAAAGAUUAGCGGCGGACGGGUGAGUAACACGUGGGCAACCUGCCUAUAAGACUGGGAUAACUUCGGGAAACCGGAGCUAAUACCGGAUAAUUCUUUUCUACACAUGUAGGAAAGCUGAAAGACGGUUUACGCCGUCACUUAUAGAUGGGCCCGCGGCGCAUUAGCUAGUUGGUGAGGUAACGGCUCACCAAGGCGACGAUGCGUAGCCGACCUGAGAGGGUGAUCGGCCACACUGGGACUGAGACACGGCCCAGACUCCUACGGGAGGCAGCAGUAGGGAAUCUUCCGCAAUGGACGAAAGUCUGACGGAGCAACGCCGCGUGAGUGAUGAAGGUUUUCGGAUCGUAAAACUCUGUUGUUAGGGAAGAACAAGUGCGAGAGUAACUGCUCGUACCUUGACGGUACCUAACCAGAAAGCCACGGCUAACUACGUGCCAGCCGCCGCCGUAACAC